rnacentral:rRNA from 1 species
UUCCCCUAGUAACGGCGAGUGAAGCGGCAACAGCUCAGAUUUGAAAUCUGGCCCCGUCUCGGGGUCCGAGUUGUAGUCUAGAGAAGCGUCGUCGUGCUGGACCAUGUAUAAGUCUCUUGGAACAGAGCGUCAUAGAGGGUGAGAAUCCCGUCUUUGACAUGGACUCCAGUCACUUUGUGUUGUGCUCUCAACGAGUCGAGUUGUUUG